rnacentral:rRNA from 1 species
UACGUAGGGUGCGAGCGUUGUUCGGAAUUAUUGGGCGUAAAGAGCUCGUAGGCGGUUUGUCACGUCUGCUGUGAAAUCCCGAGGCUCAACCUCGGGCCUGCAGUGGGUACGGGCAGACUGGAGUGCGGUAGGGGAGAAUGGAAUUCCUGGUGUAGCGGUGAAAUGCGCAGAUAUCAGGAGGAACACCGGUGGCGAAGGCGGGUCUCUGGGCCGAUACUGACGCUGAGGAGCGAAAGCGUGGGGAGCGAACAGG